AAAACCUUUCUCUCCUAUCCGUUGAGAAAGACCUGCUGAACACCGAGCUUGACGCAACAUGUCCUGACGACUGGUUCACGUUCAACAGCUCUUGUUACCAAGCCUCUGAUAACAAGACUUCAUCCUGGGAUGAAGGCAGAGCGGACUGCUUCAGAAAAGGAGGAGAUCUGGUGGUGAUAAAUGAUCCUGAGGAGCAGCAAUUUCUUGCUGAAUUCAAGAUGGACGCAUGGAUUGGUUUGAGCGACCGGGAAACUGAGGGAUCCUGGCUGUGGGUUGAUGGAAC